CGGAAGUGUGAGAGAUGUGAUUAGCACGAGAACACGAGAGCGAUGCAAAAGGAUUAAAAAGGUUUAUAUGGUUUAAAAUUCAUUUAAAUAAGGUUAAAAACAAACUUAUAAUACUUGAUGGUUGAUGAUGAUGAAUCAUUUUAGAGUGAUGAUUGCCGAUUUGAGCGCCGAUGUUAGCUGAUUGUGAAGCUCCCCUGAAUCUGAAGCAGGUGUUUAACGAACUGUUAAAAACGGGAUUUGGUCAGGUUUAUUGCUUGAGUGAAAAUCCCCCCUUGUGGAUUUGAGAUGGCGAGCCACCCAAACUUGAAAUUUUGAUUCCUGAACCUGGAAGGAUACAUCUUUGCUGUGACACGUGGACGAUUCGUUGCAUCAACCUUUUGUUACAUCAACUUUUCUUCAGCUGGGAGGACAUUUCUCUUUUCCAGGACACUUGUUUGAACUGAAACUGGUCCAUUGCUCCAAAUUACGUUGAGGGCACUUGUUACA